GCGCUCUUAGUUCAGUUCGGUAGAACGCGGGUCUCCAAAACCCGAUGUCGUAGGUUCAAGUCCUACAGAGCGUG